AAUCCAUUUGGCAUGUGCACAUAUAAAAGCCUUCCGAGCGCCAGAGUUUGGUAUCAUAUUCAAUUCUCGUCAGAUCAGAGGAAGUACGGAAAGAUGGCAAAAUUUGUGACAAUUUGUUUUUGGAUGCUCGUAGCAAUAGUUUCCAUCCAUGCCAAACCGGCGUCACCGGAUGCAGAUGCAACGAUCACGAAA